GAUGAACGCUGGCGGCGUGCCUAAUACAUGCAAGUCGAGCGAACAGACGAGGCGCUUGCUCCUCUGACGUUAGCGGCGGACGUGUGAGUCACACGUGUAUAACCUACCUAUCAGACUGGUAUAACUUCGAGAAUCCGGCUCUAAUACCGUAUAAUAUCUUGAACCGCAUUGUUCAAUAGUGAAAGACGGUUUUUCUGUCACUUCUCGAUGGUUCCCCGCGGUAUUAGCUAGUUGGUACGGUAACGGCUUUUCACGGCAACGAUGCGUAGCCGACCUGAGAGGGGGGUAGGCGACACGAGAACGGAGACACGGACAAGAGGACUAAGGGAGGCAGCAGUAGGGAAUGGGACGCAAUGGGCGAAAGUAUGACGGAGCAAGGGCGAGUGAGAGAUGAAGGUGUUCGGAGCGUAAAAAUCGGUUAUGAGGGAAAAACAAAUGUGGAAGGAACUAUGGAGGUAGUGACGGUAAUUAAUAAGAAAGCAACGGCUAACUACGUG
rnacentral:rRNA from 1 species